GGUGGCUCAGUGGUGGAGUGCUUGCCUUGGGUGCAUGAGGCUCUGGGUUCAAUUCCUCAGCACCA
rfam:Dipodomys ordii contig_4181, whole genome shotgun sequence.